GACGAACGCUGGCGGCGUGCUUAACACAUGCAGGUCGAACGGAAAGGCCCUGCUUUUGUGGGGUGCUCGAGUGACGAACGGGUGAGUAACACGUGAGUAACCUGCCCUUGACUUUGGGAUAACUUCAGGAAACUGGGGCUAAUACCGGAUAGGAGCUCCUGCUGCAUGGUGGGGGUUGGAAAGUUUCGGCGGUUGGGGAUGGACUCGCGGCUUAUCAGCUUGUUGGUGGGGUAGUGGCUUACCAAGGCUUUGACGGGUAGCCGGCCUGAGAGGGUGACCGGCCACAUGGGGACUGAGAUACGGCCCAGACUCCUACGGGAGGCAGCAGUGGGGAAUAUUGCACAAUGGGCGGAAGCCUGAUGCAGCAACGCCGCGUGCGGGAUGACGGCCUUCGGGUUGUAAACCGCUUUCGCCUGUGACGAAGCGUGAGUGACGGUAAUGGGUAAAGAAGCACCGGCUAACUACGU
rnacentral:rRNA from 1 species